UACAGGUUUUCAAAAGUGUUUAAAAAUGGGUUUUAUGUGGUGACGUCAGGAUCCAGGCCCCCGGAUUCCUGGACUGUCACAGUUGGUAUCAGAGCAACAGGUUAUAAGUAUUUGAAAUUAGAAUAUAGAUCAUAGUUAUAGGUUUUCUAGAGAAGAAUGUUGGGUGACCUCGGAUAGAGGUAUUGUGAGACUAUUUAGAAAUAGUCUAGGGAUGUGAUAGAGAAAUAGAAUCUAGUUAAAUGAUUAAGUUGAGUGCAUAAGUUUAGAGAGAUUUUGAUUCCUAAGUUAGACAUAUGAUUUUUAGU
rnacentral:lncRNA from 1 species